AUACUUGAGUGCCGGAGGGGUAAGUGGAAUUCCUAGUGUAGCGGUGAAAUGCGUAGAUAUUAGGAGGAACACCAGUGGCGAAGGCGGCUUACUGGACGGUAACUGACGUUGAGGCUCGAAAGCGUGGGGAGCAAACAGGAUUAGAUACCCUGGUAGUCCACGCCGUAAACGAUGACUGCUAGGUGUCGGGUGGCAAAGCCAUUCGGUGCCGUAGCUAACGCAGUAAGCAGUCCACCUGGGGAGU
rnacentral:rRNA from 1 species